UACGGAGGGGACUAGCGUUGUUCGGAAUUACUGGGCGUAAAGCGCACGUAGGCGGAUUUGUAAGUCAGGGGUGAAAUCCCGGGGCUCAACCUCGGAACUGCCUUUGAUACUCCAAAUCUCGAGUCCGGAAGAGGUGAGUGGAAUUCCUAGUGUAGAGGUGAAAUUCGUAGAUAUUCGGAAGAACACCAGUGGCGAAGGCGGCUCACUGGCCCGUUACCGACGCUCAGGCGCGACAGCGUGGGGAGCAAACAGG
rnacentral:rRNA from 1 species